GGGUGUGGGGGGGAUAUGAGGGGGGUUAUGGGGGUGUGGGGGGGCACAAUGGAAGGGGGCCAUUGGGGUGGCGACACCCAGAGCUGUGGGAGCCAACGUGCACCAUGGGGGUGGUGGGGACGGGGGGCCGCCCCACAGCCCUAUGGGGUGACCGACACCCCCCCCCUAAUUUGUACCCCGUAGGACCCCGAGGGCAAACCCAAGAAGGCGUCGAUCCGCGACAACGGGGACGGGACGUACACCGUGUCCUACGUGCCCGACACCACCGGCCGCUACACCAUCCUCAUCAAGUACGGCGGCGACGAGAUCCCCUACUCCCCGUACCGCAUCCGCGCCGUCCCCGCCGGCGACGCCAGCAAGUGCACCGUCACCGUCUCCAUCGGAGGUCACGGCUUAGGCCCGGGGCUGGGCCCCACCAUCCAGCUGGGGGAGCAGACGCUGCUGACGGUGGACGCCAAGGCCGCGGGGCCGGGCAAGGUGACGUGUGCCGUGCGGGCGCCCGACGGCGCCGAGGCCGACGUGGACGUGGUGGAAAACGCCGACGGGACCUUCGACAUCUUUUACACCGCCCCCCAGCCAGGGAAGUACAUCAUCUGCGUGCGCUUCGGGGGGGAGCACGUCCCCAACAG
rnacentral:lncRNA from 1 species